GGAGAAUUUCUCUGAGCUUCUUUGACCUCAAGGAAAAACUCUCUGCUGUACAAUCAUGUGCAAAACUACGAAUCUUGCCGAUGUUUUACAACGAAUCCCAGAUUAAAUCGGAAUUUUAGUUUCGUCACGUUGAUGAAACUUUUGUCAUCUGGAGACAUGGACCAGAUGAACUACGUGAAAUGUCUUCACGGUUUUUCGGAUUAAUACCGUCCAUGAACGGUCGAAACGUUACACAAGUUCUGCAAGCUGUUGUCAUACUGUCUCACGAUCCUCCCACCUCACCCUGAUACAAAACAUAUUACGUGCACAUGGAAGUCUUGGAAGUGGUGUUAAAUAAGCAGGAAAGGCACCUUGCUGAAUUGAAAUGGACAACCACGCAGCUCCAAAGUUCAUGCCGAAGAUGAAGCUUCGAUGUGACAGCUUGUUUGUUUAAACAUAGUUUAACACCUAUAUUUUAAUGCUUUCGAACAUACGAAUUAUUCGAAAGCAUAGAGAAGCGUAGGCUUAAAAAUGCUGAAACAAAAUCAAGAUCCAAAGGGCCAGAAAGCGGCCGGAUAAUAUAAAAAUAACCAUAAGCCCUUGAUACACACGAUGCUUCGUGCCCUACUCUCCUUGAAAACAAGCAUGUGAAGCAGAUAAAGGAUGUUGGGUGUUUUGGACCAUUUAAAAUUAAAAGUGAAAGGAAGAAAUAGAAUACUUAUCAAAAGGGAGAGUGUGAGUACUUGCCUGCAGCUCGUCUUCGGUUGGUUUUCAGCUCACCUCCAACUCUCUUUUAACUUGCCUGCAACUCUACUGUGAUUCGCCUUUGCCUCAUACAAAAACUUCACACAAAUGUGAAACUAGUAACUUUUAUUAUGUGCAGCACAAUAUACUGUUUAUUUAGAAUUACAAAACUUGAAACUUAAUAA